ACCCGGGCGGGGCUGUGCCGUGCCGUGCCGUACCGGACUGGCACCGGGAGCCUCCAAUGGGGGCGAGCGGGGGCCGCGCCGCGGGGCGCCGCCGGUUGCGCGGUGGCGGUAGCCGGGCUCGGCGGCGGCCGGAGGAGAGGAGGAGGGGAGCGGUGCGGUGCUGCGCGUCCGAGAAGCCGGGACUUUCUCUCUGGUCCCGGUGCAGUGCGAGCACCCCCUACGAGCCGAAAGUGAGCUUGGUUCCUCACGAACAAAAAAAACCUAGCAAAUAACCAGCCGGUCGUUUAAUCUGCAAGAAGGAGAGAUCCUCGAAAAACGAUGAAAAGAGAAGCAAUUGAAUGUUAUGUUCAGUGUAGCAGGGUGAGACGGUUCACACCAUGAGGGGCAGAAUAUUGAAAAAGGAGCUAGCUCGGAAAAUAUGAGAUGAGACAAACAUUUUUCCCCAUCCCAACACCUCGGGUAGAAAUGGAUAUAUGUGUACCGGCUGGUUUCUACGCUAGCUGGAUCGGGUGGUGGGACCUCUUGCUCUCUCCCCGCCACCCUCCCCCCCCCAAAAAAAAAAGAAAUAGUAAUAAAAGUGACUUAAAGAG